UUAGUUGUAAUUAUUAAAUCAAAAUUAGUAUUAGUUAAGUUCUUAAAAAUUAAAGAUUUUGGCGGUAUUUUAGUCUUUUCAGAGGAAUCUGUCCUAUAAUUGAUAAUCCACGAUUAAUUAAACUUUAUUUAUUAGUUUGUAUACCAUCGUAGAAAGAUAUUUUAUAAGAAGUUUAAUAUUUAUUUUUUAUAAAAAAUAAAAUCAGAUCAAGGUGCAGUUUAUAAUAAAGAAGAGAUGGAUUACAAUAUAUUUUAUAUGUGAAUUAAUUUAUUUAAAAUUAUUAUGAAAAUGGAUUUGAAAGUAAUUAAUUAUAUAUUUUUUUAAUGAUUUUAGCUCUAAAAUAUGU
rnacentral:rRNA from 1 species